rnacentral:rRNA from 1 species
AGCAGCCGCGGUAAUUCCAGCUCCAAUAGCGUAUAUUGAAGUUGUUGCAGUUAAAAAGCUCGUAGUUGAAUUUCGGGGUUCUACCGUUGGUCGGGCUUUGUCUGUACUGGCGUGUAGAAUUUCUACCUUCUGGGGAACCAUCAUGUUAUUAAUUUAACGUGGUGGGAAACCAGGACCUUUACCUUGAAAAAAUUAGAGUGUUCAAAGCAGGCUUAUGUCUGAAUACAUUAGCAUGGAAUAAUAAAAUAGGACGGUGGUCCUGUUUUGUUGGUUUCUGAAUCACCGUAAUGAUUAAUAGGGAUAGUUGGGGGCAUUAGUAUUCAAUUGUCAGAGGUGAAAUUCUUGGAUUUAU